UGGGGCGGAGCGGAAGUAGCCGGAAGUGGCGUUAGGGCGGUGUCCGGCGGGUAGUGGCAGGCUUAUGGGUGAGCUGCAAGGCAGGUGUUUUGAAGCUUCACGGAGUAUGAGACGGGUCUCCGAAAUCCGUGUAUGGGUGACAGAUAUGACUUGGUGCCAGGCAAUGUGUUCUUGUAAAGUGGAGACGAUAUACAUCCUCAAGGUUGCCUCGAGGUACACAAAGGCAAAGGAAGCGGCAUAUUUUUUAAGAGUGCAAAUGAAAAGACAAUUCAGGAGUUCCCGUCGUGGCGCAGUGGUUAACGAAUCCGACUAGGAACCAUGAGGUUGCGGCUUCGGUCCCUGCCCUUGCUCAGUGGGUUAAGGGUCCGGCGUUGCUGUGAGCUGUGGUGUAGGUCGCAGAUACGGCGGAUCCCGCGUUGCUGUGGCUCUGGUGUAGGCCGGCGGCUACAGCUCCGAUUCGACCCCUAGCUUGGGAACCUCCAUAUNAAAAAAAAAAAAAAAAAAAAAAAAAAAAAGACAAUUCAUUGAGUGACAGAAAUAUUUGUAAAUUACAUAUCUGAUUAAGAAGUAACAUCCAGAUAUAUUUUAAAAAGUCUGUAACUCAACAACAACCAACACAAAUGACUGGAUUAAAGAAUGGACAGUGGACUUGAAUAAACAUUUCUCUAAAGAAAACGUACAAAAAGGAGUUCCCCUCAUGGCGCAGUGGAGACGAAUCUGACUAGGAACCAUGAGGCUGUGGGUUCGAUCCCUGGCCUUGCUCACUGGGUUAAGGAUCCUGCAUUGCCAUGAGCUGUGGGUGGUGUAGGUCACAGACAUACUUAGAGCUCCAAUCUCGUGUUGCUGUGGUGUUUCUAUGGCUGUGGCUCCUAUUGGACACCUAGCCUGGGAAACUGUAUAUGCCUGAGUGAGCCCUCCCCCCCCCCCCAAAAAAAAAGAAAAAAGAAAAUGUGCAAAUGGCCAAUAAGCACAUGAAAAGAUGCUCAAUGUCAGUAGUCAUUAGGGAAAUGCAAAUCAAAACCAGGACGAAAUGUCACCUUACCCGUUAGGAAAGUGAUUAUGAAAAAAAUGGAAAAUAAUUGUUGAUGGGGCUGUAGAGAGAUAGGAACCCUUCUGCAUUGCUGAUGGGAAUAUAAAAUAGUGGGGCGCUUUGGGAAAACAGUCUGGUGACUCCUCAAAAAGUUAACAGAGGAGUUCUCUUCUGGUGUAGUGGGUUAAAGAUCUGACAUGUCACUGCAGCAGCUUGGCUUGAUGCUUGGCACAGGUUCCAUCCCUGGCCUGGGAAUUUCAAUGGGCCAUGGGUGUGACCACCUCCCCCCCAAAAAAAAGUUAAACAGAUUACCACAACAUGCAGCAGCAAUUUCUUUUCUGGGUAAAUACCCCAAAGAAUUCAAAGCAGGGACUCAAACAAAUACUUGUGCACCAAUGUUCAUAGCAACAUUUGUAAGAAGCAAAAGGUAGAAACAACCCAAAAUACCCAUUGACAGAUGGACAAAAAAAAUGUGGUGUAUACAUACACAUGAUUAUUAUCAAGCCUUUAAAAGGAAGGAAAUUCUGGUACAUGCUACAACAUGGAUGAGCCUUGAAAACAUUUUGAUGAGUGAAAUAAAUGAGAUACAAAAGGACAAAAUACUGCAUGAAGUGCACUUACAUGUGGUAUGUAGAUAGGCAAAUUUAUAGAAACAAAACAUAAAAUAGAGGUUACCAGGGGUUGGGGAGUGGGAGGAAUGUGAAUUUAUUGUUUAAUGGGUGGAGAGUUUCUUCAGGAUAAAGAAAAAGUUCUGGAAAUGAUAGUGCUGAUGGCUGCACAACAUUGUGAAUGUACUUAAUGCUACUGAACAUUACAGUUGAAAAUGGUUAAAAUGGUAAGUUUUACUUUAUGUAUAUUUUCACACCAACACACACCUAUACAUACACACAUGUUGAGCAAUCUUAGGGUGUCUCUUAUAUUCCAGCAUUGUUCUAGUUCCUGAAGCUACAGUAGUGGGCAUAAAAUACAAGUCUUCCUGGAUCUUAUGGUCUGGUGAAAGUGGAGUGAUAAUAAUGUGUACAAGAUGGAUUAUUCAAUAGAUAGUUCUGGGAGUUCCUGCUGUGGUGCAGUGGGAUCGACAGUGUCUCUGAAGUGGCAGGGACCCAGGUUUGAUCCCUGGCCCUGUGCAGUGGGUUAAGGAUCUGGCAUUGCUGCAGCUGUGCCACAGGUUGCAGCUCCAGCUCAGGUUUGAUCCCUGGCCCGGUGCAGUGGGUUAAGGAUCUGGCAUUGCUGCAACUGUGCCACAGGUUGCAGCUCCAGCUCAGAUUUGAUCCCUGGCCCAGGAACUCCAUAUGCCACAGGGUGGCCAAAAAAAGUUCUGAAAUAAGUGGGUAGCUGUGUGGUUUUGAUAGAGUUAGAGUAGGAUAGUUACAUAGGUAGUUGUAGAAGUCCCAAUAGGGGACCAUAGAGGGGUAAACCUAGUGAAUUUUUGGAGACCACUGUAAGUUAAUAAUGGCUCAAGAAAGCCAUCAGAAUGAAGCAGGUUUACUUAACUAUAAAACCACACAUAAAAACUUGAGAUGUUCCUCAGUUCAUGAAGUGAAAGAUAAAAUGAGGCCUGCAUUCAAGUUCAGAAAGAUAAUGAUUUAGGACCAAGGACAGGAGUUUAAGGGAAAGAUUCCAAAGCAGGAGAUCAUCAUUAUACAGAAACAUGAGAUGAUUCAACAUAUUUUAGCAUAUGUUACCACCCUUCCGCUGAUUUGAAUAAACACCAUGACAGUCCUAGUUUAAUCUCAUAGGGUCAAAUAUUCUCUUACCCAAUAUGAAGGAGCUAGUGAUGUAAGCCUGAAAUCUGCUCAAAGAAUAAGGAAGAAGGUGGCUUUUCCCUCCUCCUCCACUUUCCUUGAAACAUAAGAAUUUUAGCACAUCUAAAUCACAGUGCCUCACCUGCCCACUUGCAUCCCUCACAAGCAUCUUAUCAAUAAAUCUAUUUCUUGC
rnacentral:lncRNA from 1 species